rnacentral:rRNA from 1 species
UACGUAGGGUGCAAGCGUUAUCCGGAAUUAUUGGGCGUAAAGAGCUCGUAGGCGGUUUGUCACGUCUGCUGUGAAAACUGGAGGCUCAACCUCCAGCCUGCAGUGGGUACGGGCAGACUAGAGUGCGGUAGGGGAGAUUGGAAUUCCUGGUGUAGCGGUGGAAUGCGCAGAUAUCAGGAGGAACACCGAUGGCGAAGGCAGAUCUCUGGGCCGUAACUGACGCUGAGGAGCGAAAGCAUGGGGAGUGAACAGG